CGACAGAGCGAGACUCCGUCUCAAAAUAAAAAUAAAAAAAAAAUAAAGGCGGGGUGGUGGUGGUGACAAGCCCCUAUUACGGCCUUAGUGCGGGAUUCCCCUUGGGGCGGGAGACGUCGUCCUUCCGGGUGCGGGUGCGGACUGCAAGUCCUAUCGGGGACCGCGACACCGGACUGCAUCCGCCAGCGUCCAGGGCGUAGCGCCCCCCAGGCGCUGCCUUCGUCCAUCUCUACGGGGAGUGGCGGCCAGAAGACUGGGUUUUCCCCGUGCAGCUGUGCCCCACGUUGGGGAAACUGACUUUUCAGAGUAAAAGCCAAGACCUUAAAAUGGUUCCAAAGUCCCAACAUAAUCUGGCCCCGUUACUCCAGGAACACUGGCCUUUUUGCUGUUUUCCAAACCUGCCAGAUGGCCUCACCCCUUAGUGCCAUCCAGUGAUGAAGUCACCAGGUGGAGGUGGUGCUGGCUAAAACUCGAAGAUUAUUCCUUUACUCUGAGAAUCUCCUCAACAUCCACCAUUCCUGCUAUCUGGAACUCAAGUCAUCAGCAUACAGAACUACAAUCAGAAAAAGAGUCAGCCCCACUGUAGGCCCCCAAAUACUAAGGGACAAAAUGUUGCAUCUUCUGAUUCUAAAGCCCAUUCUCUUUCCACUAUAUCAAUAACCCUCAAAUUCAUGCCAAAUGUACAUUAGUUUUUGUGUCUGGUACUUUCCUUCUUAGAGUGCUUGGGGAGGAUGGUGGGAAGGAAUGAAGAGGACAAGGACAGACUCGUCUGCCUCAAUACAUCCACAUAGUGGACACCACUGUCUUUUGGGAAGCUUCCCCCUCUCUCAGGAGUACGUGAAUGGAGUCUCUUUCUGUUGCCCAGGCUGGAAUGC
rnacentral:lncRNA from 1 species